UUUUUCUGGAUUUUUUUUUUUUUUUUUUUUAAUUCUUAAGAUGUUAAAGAACCAGAAGUCAAAUAGACAGGGAAAGGAAUUUGUCUGGGACAACAACUCCAGCGUCUGGAAUAAAUGGUAAAAUAGGCCAGCCAAACCCCCAUCAACUCCUACACUAUCUUUCGUCUUGAUGCAAAUUUUCUUUCUGUAGACUAACAGGAGACUGAAGACAGCUGUACUAGUUUGAUCUCCCCACACAAACUCAUGGCUACAGAAAUAUUCAACAUUCACCACAAAUAUUACAUUGAUUUUUUUAACUCAGUGCAAUAAAAUCUGCUUUGAAUUUUAUAGCUUUUACAGUAACUUAAUUACAAGUUUUGCAGUUAUUUAAACCCUGCUUUUGUCAUAGAGGUUCCAGUUUCUGGGCCCAGUGCAGGAAGUACUGACUUCCACUGCUGCGAAUUUCAAGCACAGCUUUAUGUGCAGGGAUUCUUGAAAUGUUUUACAAACUUUAUCAUUACAGCCCUUCCUGCACUAGCUAACCAAAUCCAAACAGCAAUGUAUGUGAUAUUACACCACAUAACUGCAUUAAACACAGUGAUUCUGAAUGAGGAUUUUCAGGGUGGAUGGGACAGAGGUAAUUUCUCUACAUGCACACUAGAACAUUUAAAGGUCUUCAAAUAAAAGUGGUAAAAGAAAAUUACCUCACUAUGUUCCUGCUAAUAUGAAAACAUUAGACCUCUGUUAUUUGGUUUUAAAGAAGAGAACUUGGGGGAUUCAGUGCACAUAUUACCCCAGUUCUUUCACAUUCCUAACUCUGGAGAGCAUCUUCCCUCCCAUUUAUGAAUGAAAACCACCUUUUUCUCAAUGACCCUAAGUUAAUUCUCGCAACACUACAAGGACCUACACUUUAGCUGUCUGUAAUUUAAAGUAGCAGUUGCAAACAAGAUGAUCUAGCUUUAGAGCAGCCAGCUACUGCAGGCCACCACUGAUUCACAGACAUUAUUAAGAAAUUACUACUGUAAGUCUACCACAUUUAAAUUAUGCUAUAGUAGUAAUGUGGCCACAGCAUCUAUUUAUAGAAAUAAUUUCACCCAGCAAGCACAGUAACAAAAAUAGUUAACAAUGGAAUGAAAGCAUCUGACAUCAUCCUGUGACUUUGCCACAAACUUCUAGGACAUGAAAGAGCUGCAGGACAACAGCAAACUAUAAGGAUAUUUGGGGGUAUUCUGCCCUUAACAGAAAA
rnacentral:lncRNA from 1 species